UACGGAGGGGGCUAGCGUUGUUCGGAAUUACUGGGCGUAAAGGGCGCGUAGGCGGCCUUGCAAGUCAGGUGUGAAAGGCCCGGGCUCAACCCGGGGACUGCGCUUGAGACUGCGGGGCUUGGAGUCCGGGAGAGGAUGGUGGAAUUCCCAGUGUAGAGGUGAAAUUCGUAGAUAUUGGGAAGAACACCGGUGGCGAAGGCGGCCAUCUGGACCGGUACUGACGCUGAGGCGCGAAAGCGUGGGGAGCAAACAGG
rnacentral:rRNA from 1 species